rnacentral:rRNA from 1 species
UAAGCGGAGGAAAAGAAACUAACAAGGAUUCCCCUAGUAGCGGCGAGCGAAGCGGGAAGAGCUCAAAUUUAUAAUCUGGCACCUUCGGUGUCCGAGUUGUAAUCUCUAGAAGUGUUUUCCGCGUUGGACCGCACACAAGUCUGUUGGAAUACAGCGGCAUAGUGGUGAAACCCCCGUAUAUGGUGCGGACGCCCAGCGCUUUGUGAUACACUUUCAAUGAGUCGAGUUGUUUGGGAAUGCAGCUCAAAUUGGGUGGUAAAUUCCAUCUAAAGCUAAAUAUUGGCGAGAGACCGAUAGCGAACAAGUACCGUGAGGGAAAGAUGAAAAGCACUUUGGAAAGAGAGUUAACAGUACGUGAAAUUGUUGGAAGGGAAACGCUUGAAGUCAGACUUGCUUGCCGGAGCUUGCUUCGGUUUGCAGGCCAGCAUCAGUUUUCCGGGGUGGAUAAUGACGGUUUGAAGGUAGCAGUCUCGGCUGUGUUAUAGCUUUCCGUUGGAUACGCCCUGGGGGACUGAGGAACGCAGCGUGCUUUUUGCGAAAGACUCGUCUUUUUCACGCUUAGGAUGCUGGUGGAAUGGCUUUAAACGACCCGUCUUGAAA